rnacentral:rRNA from 1 species
AUUGAACGCUGGCGGCAGGCUUAACACAUGCAAGUCGAACGAGUGGCGGACGGGUGAGUAAUGCUUGGGAAUCUAGCUUAUGGAGGGGGAUAACUACGGGAAACUGUAGCUAAUACCGCAUACCAUAGGAUGUGCCCAGGUGGGAUUAGGUAGUUGGUGGGGGAAAGGCUCACCAAGGCGACGAUCCCUAGCUGGUCGGAGAGGAUGACCAGCCACACUGGGACUGAGACACGGCCCAGACUCCUACGGGAGGCAGCAGUGGGGAAUAUUGCACAAUGGGCGCAAGCCUGACGCAGCCAUGCCGCGUGAAUGAAGAAGGCCUUCGGGUUGUAAAGUACUUUCAGCGGCGAGGCGUUAACUACAGAAGAAGCACCGGCUAACUCCGUGCCAGCAGCCGCGGUAAUUC